UACGUAGGAGGCGAGCGUUGUCCGGAAUUACUGGGCGUAAAGAGCGCGUAGGCGGCCUGCUACGACCGGUGUGAAAGCCCCCGGCUCAACUGGGGAGGGUCACUGGUAACGGGCAAGCUCUGAGUGCAGGAGAGGGAAGUGGAACUCCGGGAGUAGCGGUGAAAUGCGUAGAGACCCGGAGGAACACCAGUGGCGAAGGCGGCUUCCUGGCCUGCGACUGACGCUGUGGCGCGAAAGCUAGGGGAGCGAACGGG
rnacentral:rRNA from 1 species